AGUGAACGCUGGCGGUAGGCCUAACACAUGCAAGUCGAACGGCAGCACAGUAAGAGCUUGCUCUUACGGGUGGCGAGUGGCGGACGGGUGAGGAAUACAUCGGAAUCUACUUUUUCGUGGGGGAUAACGUAGGGAAACUUACGCUAAUACCGCAUAUGACCUACGGGUGAAAGCAGGGGAUCUUCGGACCUUGCGCGAUUGAAUGAGCCGAUGUCGGAUUAGCUAGUUGGCGGGGUAAAGGCCCACCAAGGCGACGAUCCGUAGCUGGUCUGAGAGGAUGAUCAGCCACACUGGAACUGAGACACGGUCCAGACUCCUACGGGAGGCAGCAGUGGGGAAUAUUGGACAAUGGGCGCAAGCCUGAUCCAGCCAUGCCGCGUGGGUGAAGAAGGCCUUCGGGUUGUAAAGCCCUUUUGUUGGGAAAGAAAAGCAGCGGGUUAAUACCCCGCUGUUCUGACGGUACCCAAAGAGUAAGCACCGGCUAACUUCGUG
rnacentral:rRNA from 1 species